CCUACGGGUGGCAGCAGUGAGGAAUAUUGGUCAAUGGGCGGAAGCCUGAACCAGCCAAGUAGCGUGAGGGAUGAAGGCCCUACGGGUUGUAAACCGCUUUUGCACGGGGAUAACACCAUCCACGUGUGGAGGUCUGCAGGUACCGUGCGAAUAAGGGUCGGCUAAUUCCGUGCCAGCAGCCGCGGUAAUACGGAGGGCCCGAGCGUUAUCCGGAUUCAUUGGGAUUAAAGGGAGCGUAGGUGGGUGUUCAAGUCAGCUGUAAAAUCUCGCGGAUCAACCGCGCCCCGCAGUUGAAACUGGAAGCCUUGAGUUCACAACAGGCAGGCGGAAUUCGUGGUGUAGCGGUGAAAUGCAUAGAUAUCACGAGGAACCCCGAUUGCGAAGGCAGCCUGCCGGGGUGCGACUGACGCUGAGGCUCGAAGGUGCGGGUAUCAAACAGGAUUAGAUACCCCAGUAGUC
rnacentral:rRNA from 1 species